UUAAGCGACUAAGCGUACACGGUGGAUGCCCUGGCAGUCAGAGGCGAUGAAGGGCGUGCUAAUCUGCGAUAAGCGCCGGUAAGGUGAUAUGAACCGUUAUAACCGGCGAUACCCGAAUGGGGAAACCCAGUGUGAUUCGUCACACUAUCAUUAACUGAAUCCAUAGGUUAAUGAGGCGAACCGGGGGAACUGAAACAUCUAAGUACCCCGAGGAAAAGAAAUCAACCGAGAUUCCCCCAGUAGCGGCGAGCGAACGGGGAGGAGCCCAGAGCCUGAAUCAGCAUGUGUGUUAGUGGAAGCGUCUGGAAAGGCGCGCGAUACAGGGUGACAGCCCCGUACACAAAAGCGCAUGUGCUGUGAGCUCGAUGAGUAGGGCGGGACACGUGGUAUCCUGUCUGAAUAUGGGGGGACCAUCCUCCAAGGCUAAAUACUCCUGACUGACCGAUAGUGAACCAGUACCGUGAGGGAAAGGCGAAAAGAACCCCGGCGAGGGGAGUGAAAAAGAACCUGAAACCGUGUACGUACAAGCAGUGGGAGCNGUGACUGCGUACCUUUUGUAUAAUGGGUCAGCGACUUAUAUUCUGUAGCAAGGUUAACCGAAUAGGGGAGCCGGAGGGAAACCGAGUCUUAAUUGGGCGUUAAGUUGCAGGGUAUAGACCCGAAACCCGGUGAUCUAGCCAUGGGCAGGUUGAAGGUUGGGUAACACUAACUGGAGGACCGAACCGACUAAUGUUGAAAAAUUAGCGGAUGACCUGUGGCUGGGGGUGAAAGGCCAAUCAAACCGGGAGAUAGCUGGUUCUCCCCGAAAGCUAUUUAGGUAGCGCCUCGUGAAUUCAUCUCCGGGGGUAGAGCACUGUUUCGGCUAGGGGGCCAUCCCGGCUUACCAACCCGAUGCAAACUGCGAAUACCGGAGAAUGUUAUCACGGGAGACACACGGCGGGUGCUAACGUCCGUCGUGAAGAGGGAAACAACCCAGACCGCCAGCUAAGGUCCCAAAGUCAUGGUUAAGUGGGAAACGAUGUGGGAAGGCCCAGACAGCCAGGAUGUUGGCUUAGAAGCAGCCAUCAUUUAAAGAAAGCGUAAUAGCUCACUGGUCGAGUCGGCCUGCGCGGAAGAUGUAACGGGGCUAAACCAUGCACCGAAGCUGCGGCAGCGACGCUUAUGCGUUGUUGGGUAGGGGAGCGUUCUGUAAGCCUGUGAAGGUGGCCUGUGAGGGUUGCUGGAGGUAUCAGAAGUGCGAAUGCUGACAUAAGUAACGAUAAAGCGGGUGAAAAGCCCGCUCGCCGGAAGACCAAGGGUUCCUGUCCAACGUUAAUCGGGGCAGGGUGAGUCGACCCCUAAGGCGAGGCCGAAAGGCGUAGUCGAUGGGAAACGGGUUAAUAUUCCCGUACUUGGUGUUACUGCGAAGGGGGGACGGAGAAGGCUAUGUUGGCCGGGCGACGGUUGUCCCGGUUUAAGCGUGUAGGUGUGUGUUCCAGGUAAAUCCGGUUCACUUUAACACUGAGGCGUGAUGACGAGGCACUACGGUGCUGAAGCAACAAAUGCCCUGCUUCCAGGAAAAGCCUCUAAGCAUCAGGUAACAUCAAAUCGUACCCCAAACCGACACAGGUGGUCAGGUAGAGAAUACCAAGGCGCUUGAGAGAACUCGGGUGAAGGAACUAGGCAAAAUGGUGCCGUAACUUCGGGAGAAGGCACGCUGACACGUAGGUGAAGUGAUUUACUCAUGGAGCUGAAGUCAGUCGAAGAUACCAGCUGGCUGCAACUGUUUAUUAAAAACACAGCACUGUGCAAACACGAAAGUGGACGUAUACGGUGUGACGCCUGCCCGGUGCCGGAAGGUUAAUUGAUGGGGUCAGCGCAAGCGAAGCUCCUGAUCGAAGCCCCGGUAAACGGCGGCCGUAACUAUAACGGUCCUAAGGUAGCGAAAUUCCUUGUCGGGUAAGUUCCGACCUGCACGAAUGGCGUAAUGAUGGCCAGGCUGUCUCCACCCGAGACUCAGUGAAAUUGAACUCGCUGUGAAGAUGCAGUGUACCCGCGGCAAGACGGAAAGACCCCGUGAACCUUUACUAUAGCUUGACACUGAACAUUGAGCCUUGAUGUGUAGGAUAGGUGGGAGGCUUUGAAGCGUGGACGCCAGUCUGCGUGGAGCCGACCUUGAAAUACCACCCUUUAAUGUUUGAUGUUCUAACGUGGACCCGUAAUCCGGGUUGCGGACAGUGUCUGGUGGGUAGUUUGACUGGGGCGGUCUCCUCCUAAAGAGUAACGGAGGAGCACGAAGGUUGGCUAAUCCUGGUCGGACAUCAGGAGGUUAGUGCAAUGGCAUAAGCCAGCUUGACUGCGAGCGUGACGGCGCGAGCAGGUGCGAAAGCAGGUCAUAGUGAUCCGGUGGUUCUGAAUGGAAGGGCCAUCGCUCAACGGAUAAAAGGUACUCCGGGGAUAACAGGCUGAUACCGCCCAAGAGUUCAUAUCGACGGCGGUGUUUGGCACCUCGAUGUCGGCUCAUCACAUCCUGGGGCUGAAGUAGGUCCCAAGGGUAUGGCUGUUCGCCAUUUAAAGUGGUACGCGAGCUGGGUUUAGAACGUCGUGAGACAGUUCGGUCCCUAUCUGCCGUGGGCGCUGGAGAACUGAGGGGGGCUGCUCCUAGUACGAGAGGACCGGAGUGGACGCAUCACUGGUGUUCGGGUUGUCAUGCCAAUGGCACUGCCCGGUAGCUAAAUGCGGAAGAGAUAAGUGCUGAAAGCAUCUAAGNGUCUCCUGAAGGAACGUUGAAGACGACGACGUUGAUAGGCCGGGUGUGUAAGCGCAGCGAUGCGUUGAGCUAACCGGUACUAAUGAACCGUGAGGCUUAACCUU
rnacentral:rRNA from 1 species